AGAGUUUGAUCAUGGCUCAGGAUGAACGCUAGCUACAGGCUUAACACAUGCAAGUCGAGGGGAAACGACAUCGAAAGCUUGCUUUUGAUUGGGCGUCGACCGGCGCACGGGUGAGUAACGCGUAUCCAACCUGCCCACCACUUGGGGAUAACCUUGCGAAAGUAAGACUAAAUACCCAAUGACGUCUCUAGAAGACAUCUGAAGGAGAUUAAAGAUUUAUCGGUGAUGGAUGGGGAUGCGUCUGAUUAGCUUGUUGGCGGGGUAACGGCCACCAAGGCGACGAUCAGUAGGGGUUCUGAGAGGAAGGUCCCCCACAUUGGAACUGAGACACGGUCCAAACGUCCUACGGGAGGCCA
rnacentral:rRNA from 1 species